rnacentral:rRNA from 1 species
UACGAGGGGGGCAAGCGUUGUUCGGAAUUAUUGGGCGUAAAGGGCGCGUAGGCGGUGUCGCAAGUCGGUAGUGAAAUCUCCAGGCUCAACUUGGAGUCUGCUGCCGAAACUGCGGCGCCGGAGUACUGGAGAGGUGAGUGGAAUUCCCGGUGUAGCGGUGAAAUGCGUAGAUAUUGGGAGGAACACCUGUGGCGAAAGCGGCUCACUGGACAGUAACUGACGCUGAUGCGCGAAAGCUAGGGGAG